rnacentral:rRNA from 1 species
AUUGAACGCUGGCGGCAGGCCUAACACAUGCAAGUCGAGCGAGUGGCGGACGGGUGAGUAAUGUAUGGGGAACUGCCUGAUGGAGGGGGAUAACUACUGGAAACGGUGGCUAAUACCGCAUACCAUCGGAUGUGCCCAGAUGGGAUUAGCUAGUAGGUGGGGUAAAGGCUCACCUAGGCGACGAUCCCUAGCUGGUCUGAGAGGAUGACCAGCCACACGGGGACUGAGACACGGCCCAGACUCCGACGGGAGGCAGCAGUGGGGAAUAUUCGACAAUGGGCGCAAGUCUGAUGCAGCCAUGCCGCGUGUAUGAAGAAGGUUUUCGGGUUGUAAAGCACUUUUAUUGGGGAGGCGUUAUCUGCACAAGAAGCCACGGCUAACUCCGUGCCAGCCGCCGCGGUAAUAC